UUGAGGAACUCCAUAGCCCGAACAUGGGGUUCAAUUCUAUCACCGUUUGCGUAUAGUGACUCUGAAUUCACAAAUUAUGGGAAAGCACUUAUGAGACAGGAUAAAGUGUCGGUUUCUGUGAAGAAUUCCGUCAUCUCCAUCCGAGCGCGUCUUGCCAAAAAGUCGAGAGAAAGUCGAGCGAAGGGAGGCUUUACUGGAAACUCAGACUCUAGCAGUCCUUGGACACUGAGCUCCUCCAAGGACUCUGGGAAUCAAGUCAGAAAGUUUCAUGCUGAAUGUUCCUGCAUUAACCUGAGGUCCAGAGUGUUUGGGG